rnacentral:rRNA from 1 species
UUCGCAAUGCCCGAAAGGGUGACGAAGCGACGCCGCGUGUGGGAAGAAGGCCUUCGGGUUGUAAACCACUGUCAGGAGUUAGGAAAUACAAGGGUGUUAAUAGCGCCUUUGUUUGACUAGGGCUCCAGAGGAAGCUCCGGCUAACUCCGUGCCAGCAGCCGCGGUAAUACGGAGGGAGCGAACGUUGUUCGGAUUCACUGGGCGUAAAGGGUGCGUAGGCGGCUUCGCAAGUCCGGGGUGAAAUGUCUCGGCUCAACCGGGAACCUGCCUUGGAAACUGCGAAGCUUGAGGGCGUGAGAGGAGACUGGAAUUCCUAGUGUAGCGGUGAAAUGCAUAGAUAUUAGGAAGAACACCAGUGGCGAAGGCGAGUCUCUGGCACGCUCCUGACGCUGAGGCACGAAAGCCAGGGGAGCGAACGGGAUUAGAUACCCCGGUAGUCCUGGCCGUAAACGUUGGGCACUAAGUAGAGGGGUUUU